rnacentral:rRNA from 1 species
GAGAUACGGCCCAGACUCCUACGGGAGGCAGCAGUCGGGAAUAUUGCGCAAUGGAGGAAACUCUGACGCAGUGACGCCGCGUGCAGGAAGAAGGUUUUCGGAUUGUAAACUGCUUUAGACAGGGAAGAAAAAAGACAGUACCUGUAGAAUAAGCUCCGGCUAACUACGUGCCAGCAGCCGCGGUAAUACGUAGGGAGCGAGCGUUAUCCGGAUUUAUUGGGUGUAAAGGGUGCGUAGACGGGAGUUUAAGUUAGUUGUGAAAUCCCUCGGCUCAACUGAGGAACUGCAACUAAAACUGAAUUUCUUGAGUACUGGAGAGGAAAGUGGAAUUCCUAGUGUAGCGGUGAAAUGCGUAGAUAUUAGGAGGAACACCAGUGGCGAAGGCGACUUUCUGGACAGAAACUGACGUUGAGGCACGAAAGUGUGGAGAGCAAACAGGAUUAGAUACCCUGGUAGUCCACACUGUAAACGAUGGAUACUAGGUGUAGGGGAUGGAUAAUCCACUGUGCCGUCGCAAACGCAAUAAGUAUCCCACCUGGGGAGUACGGCCGCAAGGUUGAAACUCAAAGGAAUUGACGG